GACAUAGGUGGCAAACGUUAUCCGGAUUUAUUGGGCGUAAAGGGUGCGUAGGUGGUAUAACAAGUUACCAGUGGCAAAAUCGAGGCUCAACCUCAUGGAAGCUGAUAAUACUGUUAUGCUUGAGUGCAGGAGAGGUUAACGGAACUCCAUGUGGAGCGGUAAAAUGUGUAGAUAUAUGGAAGAACAUCAAAAACGGCGAAGGCAGUUAACUAUUCUGCUACUGACACUGAGGCACGAAAGCGUGGGGAGCAAAACGG
rnacentral:rRNA from 1 species